rnacentral:rRNA from 1 species
UACGGAGGGUGCAAGCGUUGUUCGGAAUCACUGGGCGUAAAGGGAGCGCAGGCGGUUUGUCAAGUCAGAUGUGAAAGCCCACGGCUCAACCGUGGAAGUGCAUUUGAAACUGGCAGACUUGAGUAUCAGAGGGGAAAGUGGAAUUCCCGGUGUAGAGGUGAAAUUCGUAGAUAUCGGGAGGAAUACCGGUGGCGAAGGCGACUUUCUGGCUGAAUACUGACGCUGAGGCUCGAAAGCGUGGGGAGCAAACAGGAUUAGAUACCCGCGUA